UUGAAAGUUUCUUUAGAGAAACAGGUACAGCAUGGGCAGUGGCUGAGCCAGCUUCCCCACAUCCUAUCCUGCUAAUGUGCUUCAGGCUCAUCCUGAAGGGGUGAGAGGGCAGUUCAAUCUCUGGCCUUU
ensembl:misc_RNA